rnacentral:rRNA from 1 species
GAUGAACGCUGGCGGCGUGCCUAAUACAUGCAAGUCGAGCGAACAGACGAGGAUCUUGCUCCUCUGACGUUAGCGGCGGACGGGUGAGUAACACGUGGAUAACCUACCUAUAAGACUGGGAUAACUUCGGGAAACCGGAGCUAAUACCGGAUAAUAUAUUGAACCGCAUGGUUCAAUAGUGAAAGACGGUUUUGCUGUCACUUAUAGAUGGAUCCGCGCCGCAUUAGCUAGUUGGUAAGGUAACGGCUUACCAAGGCAACGAUGCGUAGCCGACCUGAGAGGGUGAUCGGCCACACUGGAACUGAGACACGGUCCAGACUCCUACGGGAGGCAGCAGUAGGGAAUAUUCCGCAAUGGGCGAAAGCCUGACGGAGCAACGCCGCGUGAGUGAUGAAGGUCUUCGGAUCGUAAAACUCUGUUAUUAGGGAAGAACAAAUGUGUAAGUAACUAUGCACGUCUUGACGGUACCUACUCAGAAAGCAACGGCUAACUACGUG